GUAUUCUGGUUGAUCCUGCCAGUAGUUAUAUGCUUGUCUCAAAGACUAAGCCAUGCAUGUCUAUGUACGUGCCGAUAACUAAGGCGAAACCGCGGAAAGCUCAUUACAACAGUCAUGGUCUCUUCGACGGUGAGGUGAAAUUUACUUGGAUAACCGUGGCAAUUCUAGAGCUAAUACAUGCUUCAGAAGCCCGGACCUGGCGGAAAGGGCACACUUAUGAGACAUAAACCAACCGGGCGCUUUCGGGCGCCCGUUCAGGCUGGUGAAACUGAAUAAUGCCGAGUCGAUCGCACGGUCUCGCACCGGCGACGCGUCUUGCGAAUGUCUGACUUAUCAACUCGUUGGUAAGCUACGCGCCUACCACGGUUGUAACGGGUGACGGAGGAUCAGGGUUUGACUCCGGAGAGGGAGCCCGAGAAACAGCUGCCACAUCCAAGGAAGGCAGCAGGCGCGCAAAUUACCCACUUUCAGCCCGGAGAGGUAGUGACGAUAAAUAACGAUACGGGACUCAUCCGAGGCCCCGUAAUCGGAAUGAGAACAGUGCAAAAAAUUUAGCGAGUACCCACUGGAGGGCAAGUCAGGUGCCAGCAGCCGCGGUAACUCCCGCUCCAGUAGCGUAUAUUAAAGUUGUUGCGGUUAAAAAGCUCGUAGUCCGGGGUGUGACGCCUCGGGUUGGUUCACGACAACGCUCGUGUAAAAUUUUUUAAACUGGCCCUUCGGGGCGGCCAUCCGGCCGGUUGGCUCCGCCUAGUCCCCUCCGCGGGUCGCGGCGCGCCGACGUGUUCGGUCGCGCGGGCCCCGGAGGUAGGACGAGGGAGCCUGGUGUCCCCGUGGCGGGUGCUCUUGACCGAGUGUCCGGGCGGGCCGGCACGUUUACUUUGAACAAAUUAGAGUGCUUAAAGCAGGCUUGAAACGCCGUGAAUAGUAGUGCAUGGAAUAGUGGAAGAAGACCCCGGUUCCAUUUUGUUGGCUUGCGGAAUGUCCGGGGUAAUGACAAAGAGGGACGGAUGGAGGGGUCCGUAUUGUUACGUGAGAGGUGAAAUUCUCGGACCCCAACGGGACGAGCGGAUGCGAAGGCAUUCACCGAGAACACCUCCCUUGAUCAAGAACGAAAGUUAGAGGUCCGAAGGCGAUCAGAUACCGCCCUAGUUCUAACCGUAAACGAUGCCGACCAGCAAUCGGUCGUAGUUCCUCCGAUGACUCGACCGGCGGCUCCCGGGAAACCAGAGUGUUUGGGUUCCGGGGGAAGUAUGGUUGCAAAGCUGAAACUUAAAGGAAUUGACGGAAGGGCACAACCAGUCGAGGAGCUUGCGGCUUAAUUUGACUCAACACGGGGAAACUUACCAGACCAGGACACUUGUAGGAUUGACAGAUUGAGAGCUCUUUCUCGAUUAAGUGGGUGGUGGUGCAUGGCCGUUUUUAGUUGGUGAAUUGAUUUGUCUGCUUAAUUGCGAUAACGAACGAGACUCCAGCCUGCUAACUAGUCGUGCGGUAUCCCUCGAGCUACCGACGACGCAAAAAUCUUCUUAGAGGGACAGGCGGCUUCGAGCCGCAUGAGACGGAGCAAAAACAGGUCUGUGAUGCCCUUAGAUGUUCUGGGCGGCACGCGUGCUACACUGAAGGUGUCAGAGUGUGCUCCUAGCCCGAGAGGGCCGGGCAACCCCGAGAAACGCUUUCGUGAUUGGGACUGGGGCUUGAAACGUGCCCCACGAACGAGGAUUGUCUAGUAAGCGUCAGUCAUCAACUUGCGUUGAUUACGUCCCUGCCCUUUGUACACACCGCCCGUCGCUACUACCGAUUGAACGGUUUAGUGAGGGCUUUGGACCGCUCCGGCGCGAGUGCUUCGGC
rnacentral:rRNA from 1 species